GGCCUGUGCCCAUCUGGAGAAAGUGACGUGGCCACAGGAAGAAGGCAGGGUUUGCAGACAGUGUCAGAGGGAGACAGCAGUGCUGGAUCAGGAUGGUCUCAGAGUCGAAGGAAUGUGCCCGUGGUGGCCGGCAGUCAGAGUCCUAGGAGCCAGGCCAUCCUGAUUGCCUCUGCCCCGAGUUUCUCCAAGAGCCAUACUUACAUCUUGAGAGGACAAUUACUGGACAACGGACCGAGCGUGAGGAUAAGUACAGUGUUCUCUGUUGCAAAUUUUGCGUCUGAACAAUCAAGCUUUAUUCAUUUCUUGUUUGCUCAUCAUGUUAACCUUUUAUUAUGCAAAACUGUCAAUUCAAUU